rnacentral:rRNA from 1 species
UAGGGAAUCUUCGGCAAUGGACGAAAGUCUGACCGAGCAACGCCGCGUGAGUGAAGAAGGUUUUCGGAUCGUAAAACUCUGUUGUUAGAGAAGAACAAGGAUGAGAGUAACUGUUCAUCCCUUGACGGUAUCUAACCAGAAAGCCACGGCUAACUACGUGUCAG